GUUGUGAGGUUAAGCGACUAAGCGUACACGGUGGAUGCCCUGGCAGUCAGAGGCGAUGAAGGACGUGCUAAUCUGCGAUAAGCGUCGGUAAGGUGAUAUGAACCGUUAUAACCGGCGAUUUCCGAAUGGGGAAACCCAGUGUGUUUCGACACACUAUCAUUAACUGAAUCCAUAGGUUAAUGAGGCGAACCGGGGGAACUGAAACAUCUAAGUACCCCGAGGAAAAGAAAUCAACCGAGAUUCCCCCAGUAGCGGCGAGCGAACGGGGAGCAGCCCAGAGCCUGAAUCAGUGUGUGUGUUAGUGGAAGCGUCUGGAAAGGCGCGCGAUACAGGGUGACAGCCCCGUACACAAAAAUGCACAUGCUGUGAGCUCGAUGAGUAGGGCGGGACACGUGGUAUCCUGUCUGAAUAUGGGGGGACCAUCCUCCAAGGCUAAAUACUCCUGACUGACCGAUAGUGAACCAGUACCGUGAGGGAAAGGCGAAAAGAACCCCGGCGAGGGGAGUGAAAAAGAACCUGAAACCGUGUACGUACAAGCAGUGGGAGCACGCUUAGGCGUGUGACUGCGUACCUUUUGUAUAAUGGGUCAGCGACUUAUAUUCUGUAGCAAGGUUAACCGAAUAGGGGAGCCGAAGGGAAACCGAGUCUUAACUGGGCGUUAAGUUGCAGGGUAUAGACCCGAAACCCGGUGAUCUAGCCAUGGGCAGGUUGAAGGUUGGGUAACACUAACUGGAGGACCGAACCGACUAAUGUUGAAAAAUUAGCGGAUGACUUGUGGCUGGGGGUGAAAGGCCAAUCAAACCGGGAGAUAGCUGGUUCUCCCCGAAAGCUAUUUAGGUAGCGCCUCGUGAAUUCAUCUCCGGGGGUAGAGCACUGUUUCGGCAAGGGGGUCAUCCCGACUUACCAACCCGAUGCAAACUGCGAAUACCGGAGAAUGUUAUCACGGGAGACACACGGCGGGUGCUAACGUCCGUCGUGAAGAGGGAAACAACCCAGACCGCCAGCUAAGGUCCCAAAGUCAUGGUUAAGUGGGAAACGAUGUGGGAAGGCCCAGACAGCCAGGAUGUUGGCUUAGAAGCAGCCAUCAUUUAAAGAAAGCGUAAUAGCUCACUGGUCGAGUCGGCCUGCGCGGAAGAUGUAACGGGGCUAAACCAUGCACCGAAGCUGCGGCAGCGACGCUUAUGCGUUGUUGGGUAGGGGAGCGUUCUGUAAGCCUGCGAAGGUGUGCUGUGAGGCAUGCUGGAGGUAUCAGAAGUGCGAAUGCUGACAUAAGUAACGAUAAAGCGGGUGAAAAGCCCGCUCGCCGGAAGACCAAGGGUUCCUGUCCAACGUUAAUCGGGGCAGGGUGAGUCGACCCCUAAGGCGAGGCCGAAAGGCGUAGUCGAUGGGAAACAGGUUAAUAUUCCUGUACUUGGUGUUACUGCGAAGGGGGGACGGAGAAGGCUAUGUUGGCCGGGCGACGGUUGUCCCGGUUUAAGCGUGUAGGCUGGUUUUCCAGGCAAAUCCGGAAAAUCAAGGCUGAGGCGUGAUGACGAGGCACUACGGUGCUGAAGCAACAAAUGCCCUGCUUCCAGGAAAAGCCUCUAAGCAUCAGGUAACAUCAAAUCGUACCCCAAACCGACACAGGUGGUCAGGUAGAGAAUACCAAGGCGCUUGAGAGAACUCGGGUGAAGGAACUAGGCAAAAUGGUGCCGUAACUUCGGGAGAAGGCACGCUGAUAUGUAGGUGAAGCGACUUGCUCGUGGAGCUGAAAUCAGUCGAAGAUACCAGCUGGCUGCAACUGUUUAUUAAAAACACAGCACUGUGCAAACACGAAAGUGGACGUAUACGGUGUGACGCCUGCCCGGUGCCGGAAGGUUAAUUGAUGGGGUUAGCGCAAGCGAAGCUCUUGAUCGAAGCCCCGGUAAACGGCGGCCGUAACUAUAACGGUCCUAAGGUAGCGAAAUUCCUUGUCGGGUAAGUUCCGACCUGCACGAAUGGCGUAAUGAUGGCCAGGCUGUCUCCACCCGAGACUCAGUGAAAUUGAACUCGCUGUGAAGAUGCAGUGUACCCGCGGCAAGACGGAAAGACCCCGUGAACCUUUACUAUAGCUUGACACUGAACAUUGAGCCUUGAUGUGUAGGAUAGGUGGGAGGCUUUGAAGUGUGGACGCCAGUCUGCAUGGAGCCGACCUUGAAAUACCACCCUUUAAUGUUUGAUGUUCUAACGUUGACCCGUAAUCCGGGUUGCGGACAGUGUCUGGUGGGUAGUUUGACUGGGGCGGUCUCCUCCUAAAGAGUAACGGAGGAGCACGAAGGUUGGCUAAUCCUGGUCGGACAUCAGGAGGUUAGUGCAAUGGCAUAAGCCAGCUUGACUGCGAGCGUGACGGCGCGAGCAGGUGCGAAAGCAGGUCAUAGUGAUCCGGUGGUUCUGAAUGGAAGGGCCAUCGCUCAACGGAUAAAAGGUACUCCGGGGAUAACAGGCUGAUACCGCCCAAGAGUUCAUAUCGACGGCGGUGUUUGGCACCUCGAUGUCGGCUCAUCACAUCCUGGGGCUGAAGUAGGUCCCAAGGGUAUGGCUGUUCGCCAUUUAAAGUGGUACGCGAGCUGGGUUUAGAACGUCGUGAGACAGUUCGGUCCCUAUCUGCCGUGGGCGCUGGAGAACUGAGGGGGGCUGCUCCUAGUACGAGAGGACCGGAGUGGACGCAUCACUGGUGUUCGGGUUGUCAUGCCAAUGGCACUGCCCGGUAGCUAAAUGCGGAAGAGAUAAGUGCUGAAAGCAUCUAAGCACGAAACUUGCCCCGAGAUGAGUUCUCCCUGACUCCUUGAGAGUCCUGAAGGAACGUUGAAGACGACGACGUUGAUAGGCCGGGUGUGUAAGCGCAGCGAUGCGUUGAGCUAACCGGUACUAAUGAACCGUGAGGCUUAACCUUACAACGCCGAAGCUGUU
rnacentral:rRNA from 2 species